UACAGAGGGUGCGAGCGUUGUUCGGAAUUAUUGGGCGUAAAGGGCGCGUAGGCGGUGCGGUAAGUCACCUGUGAAAUCUCCUGGCUCAACUGGGAGCUUGCAGGCGAAACUGCCGUGCUGGAGUGUGGGAGAGGUGCGUGGAAUUCCUGGUGUAGCGGUGAAAUGCGUAGAUAUCGAGAGGAACACCUGCGGCGAAGGCGGGUUGCUGGGCUGACACUGACGCUGAAGUGCGAAAGCUAGGGGAGCGAACGGG
rnacentral:rRNA from 1 species